ACGUCGCAAGACCAAAGAGGGGGACCUUCGGGCCUCUUGCCAUCAGAUGUGCCCAGAUGGGAUUAGCUUGUUGGUGAGGUAACGGCUCACCAAGGCGACGAUCCCUAGCUGGUCUGAGAGGAUGACCAGCCACACUGGAACUGAGACACGGUCCAGACUCCUACGGGAGGCAGCAGUGGGGAAUAUUGCACAAUGGGCGCAAGCCUGAUGCAGCCAUGCCGCGUGUAUGAAGAAGGCCUUCGGGUUGUAAAGUACUUUCAGCGGGGAGGAAGGUGUUGUGGUUAAUAACCGCAGCAAUUGACGUUACCCGCAGAAGAAGCACCGGCUAACUCCGUGCCAGCAGCCGCGGUAAUACGGAGGGUGCAAGCGUUAAUCGGAAUUACUGGGCGUAAAGCGCACGCAGGCGGUCUGUCAAGUCGGAUGUGAAAUCCCCGGGCUCAACCUGGGAACUGCAUUCGAAACUGGCAGGCUUGAGUCUUGUAGAGGGGGGUAGAAUUCCAGGUGUAGCGGUGAAAUGCGUAGAGAUCUGGAGGAAUACCGGUGGCGAAGGCGGCCCCCUGGACAAAG
rnacentral:rRNA from 1 species